rnacentral:rRNA from 1 species
AACGAACGCUGGCGGCAUGCCUAACACAUGCAAGUCGAACGAGACCUUCGGGUCUAGUGGCGCACGGGUGCGUAACGCGUGGGAACCUGCCCUUAGGUUCGGAAUAACUCCCCGAAAGGGGUGCUAAUACCGGAUAAUGUCUUCGGACCAAAGAUUUAUCGCCUUUGGAUGGGCCCGCGUUGGAUUAGCCAGUUGGUAGGGUAAAAGCCUACCAAGGCGACGAUCCAUAGCUGGUCUGAGAGGAUGAUCAGCCACACUGGGACUGAGACACGGCCCAGACUCCUACGGGAGGCAGCAGUGGGGAAUAUUGGACGAUGGGCGAAAGCCUGAUCCAGCCAUGCCGCGUGAGUGAUGAAGGCCUUAGGGUUGUAAAGCUCUUUUACCCGGGAUGAUAAUGACAGUACCGGGAGAAUAAGCUCCGGCUAACUACGUG